AUUUAAGUAGCUUAUAUAGAGCAUAACACUGAAGAUGUUAAGGAAAUAGUAUUAUUCUUAAAUA
rnacentral:tRNA from 1 species